rnacentral:misc_RNA from 1 species
AAAACCCAAAAACUACUAAAAUUCUAAUCACUUGAUGAUCCAUCAUCAUCAUCCUCGUGCUCCUUAACAACUUUCUCUAAGAGCCUCCUCUGUUCUCCUUCCAUGACGGUUUCUCUUGAUGGAUCACUUCCACUCUGACCAUCAUUUAGUACGGGGCCCAAUUGACAAAGGACUAAUGCGACACCUGAUAUUCACGGAGGGGAAAAAUACCUAUCAGAAUAACCCGUUGACAAUAAAAACAGUCCAAAAAAAUCUAAUAUCUUGACAGCUUAAAAUGGGAAAACUAAGCAACAUCUCCAUCAGGAGAAUAAUAAUUUAAAGUACUUUGAAUCUGUCUUGUACAUGUCCACAAAUUAUCAUUUUUGUUCUACAACUGAAUCACAAAAAAUGGUACAAAAUCACCAAUUUCUGCCUUUCAUUUUUUAAUUUUAAAACUGUGUCUGACCAAAUGAACUUGAAAUUAUUCUUCUUUUUUUUUCUUACCAAUUCGCAAGAGAAAUAAGGUCAAAAUCUGACAAUACAACAACCAGGAUUUGUCCAGAAAUGUAUCACUCCAGGAGGGAAUUGCCUAACAUAUCUCUGUAGGAACUUUAAGUCCAUUCUACACAGCAGGAACUAUGAAUUCAAAUUUCAUCUUCAGGAUACGUUUCAUCUAGUUCUGGUUUGCCAUUCAAAGUUAGGAAAACAUUAUAAUGUCAUUCAUACAGGUUUGAAAGUUGAAAAUGAAAUUUAGCAUUUUAUAAUCCCAGACAGACCAGAAUGCAACAUUUCAGUUUUACAGCAUGAUAGAAUUAUGAUAAAUAGACUCCACAAGGUUUUGCAGGCAGAUUCUUGCAUAACAUAAUAGAGACGUGGGCCUGAGAAGAUCCAGUGAUGAUUUUCAGCACAGGCAAGAAAAAACAUAAACAGAUUACUGAUACAUUAAGACAAUGCAAAGAUAAGUAACAAAGCAAUCACAAAUCUGAACACUCUGGACGUAGAAAGUAAUCAUUUGUAAAAUACCUUCAGGGGUGCAUCUCCGGCCAAAACUAUGCAAACCCACAUAAUUUGCUUUCACUGCACCAUUAUUGUACACCAGCAUAGUGGGAAGAUUACGAUCUGGGUAGUUUGGUAUACAAUCUGUGGAUAUGAUCUUAACAAACUUUGUAGCAGGAUAUCUAGUUGCCAACUCUUCCAGACAUCGCAGCAGUACUCCACAUUCCUGAUAUCCAUCCUUGUAGAGAAUCACAACGACCCAAACAUCAUGGCUUGCUUCGGUCACCUCUCUAAUAAAGUCUGACCCUGAAAUUGGAAUCAUUGAUCCAAACCUCGAAAUUUUAGCUGCUUCCCUCAUCUCAGCUAUCCUCUUCUUCCUGUAUUCUUCAAGGAAUCGAUCGUCGUUAAGAUCGUCUUCGAGGUCCUCGAGCUCUUCUUCAGUUUUCUCAUCGAUCCAGGACUUAUCUUUAGGAAUUGAAUCUUCGUCUGGAGCUGGAGUGAAGGACGGUGGCUUGAAAGCAGGUGGCUUUGGAGGUAAAUUCCCAAGCUUUAUCUGUAUAUCAUCCCACUGAGUCGAUGCUCCUUCAACAUCCUUGUACACAAAGUGAUAGUCCGCCAUUACUCUUCUUCUCCCUCCUCUUUCUCCUGCUUUCGAUUCUUCCCCUUUGUAUGAACUUCCAAGCAAAUCU